UCUCCGUUGGUGAACCAGCGGAGGGAUCAUUACCGAGUUUACAACUCCCAAACCCAAUGUGAACCAUACCAAACUGUUGCCUCGGCGGGGUCACGCCCCGGGUGCGUCGCAGCCCCGGAACCAGGCGCCCGCCGGAGGGACCAACCAAACUCUUUCUGUAGUCCCCUCGCGGACGUUAUUUUUACAGCUCUGAGCAAAAAUUCAAAAUGAAUCAAAACUUUCAACAACGGAUUUCUUGGUUCUG
rnacentral:misc_RNA from 1 species